GUAUUUGUCCUGAUUUCAGGGCGUUUUCCUCGUGUAGGUAUCCACAAGGAUUACCUUUUAACCUUGUCCACAAGUUGGAAUUAAUCAGGUCAAGGUGUAUGGCAAAGCGAUGUAUGACAUCAUUGCCAACGUAAACCUGAUAGCGAGGUUCGUCUAUCACUAGGAAUAAAUGUUUAACUGUCUUAUUUCCUAUGGAAAUAGA